rnacentral:rRNA from 1 species
UACGAAGGGGGCUAGCGUUGCUCGGAAUCACUGGGCGUAAAGGGUGCGUAGGCGGGUUUUUAAGUCAGGGGUGAAAUCCUGGAGCUCAACUCCAGAACUGCCUUUGAUACUGAAGAUCUUGAGUCCGGGAGAGGUGAGUGGAACUGCGAGUGUAGAGGUGAAAUUCGUAGAUAUUCGCAAGAACACCAGUGGCGAAGGCGGCAUCCUGGACCGACACUGACGCUGAGGAGCGAAAGCCAGGGGAGCAAACGGG